UACGUAGGGGGCUAGCGUUGUCCGGAAUCAUUGGGCGUAAAGAGCGUGUAGGCGGUCCGGUAAGUCCGCUGUGAAAGUCGGGGGCUCAACCCUCGAAUGCCGGUGGAUACUGUCGGGCUAGAGUGCGGAAGAGGCGAGUGGAAUUCCCGGUGUAGCGGUGAAAUGCGCAGAUAUCGGGAGGAACACCAAUGGCGAAGGCAGGCUCGCUGGGACGGUACUGACGCUGAGACGCGAAAGCGUGGGGAGCAAACAGG
rnacentral:rRNA from 1 species